rnacentral:rRNA from 1 species
AUUGAACGCUGGCGGUAGGCCUAACACAUGCAAGUCGAGCGGCUGAAGGGAACUUGCUUCUUGAUUCAGCGGCGGACGGGCGAGUAAUGCCUAGAAAUCUGCCUGGCUGUUGGUGCUAACGUCCGGAAACGGGCGCUCAUACCGCAUACGUCCUGAGGGAGAACGUGGGGGAUCUUCGGACCUCCGGCCAUCAGAUGAGCCUAGGUCGGAUUAGCUAGUUGGUGGGGUAAAGGCCUACCAAGGCGACGAUCCGUAGCUGGUCUGAGAGGAUGAUCAGUCACACUGGAACUGAGACACGGUCCAGACUCCUACGGGAGGCAGCAGUGGGGAAUAUUGGACAAUGGGCGAAAGCCUGAUCCAGCCAUGCCGCGUGUGUGAAGAAGGUCUUCGGAUUGUAAAGCACUUUUAGUUGGGAGGAAGGGCAGUAAGUUAAUACCUUGCUGUUUUGACGUUACCAACAGAAUAAGCACCGGCUAACUUCGUG